rnacentral:sRNA from 4 species
GAGCGAUCAUAAGGGAGCUGACUGCAAAUCUGCCGUCAUCGACUUCAAGGUUCGACUCGAGCAAUAGUGAGAGAACGUUGCCGCAGGCAACGGCCCGAAAGGUGAGGAGCUUUAGCUCCGAAUAAUCCUUCCCGCUAUAGAA